UAGUUAUGUGGACGCGACGCCGGCACAUCCAACCCAACCCUAACACUAACCCUAUUUAAAUCGUUCUCUGGCGAUCGAAGCUGCGCCGCGCCGCGCCCGCGGAACAUAGUGAGAGGAUGAUACACAUUUUUGUCGGCGAUGGAGGGCGGAGGAGAAGUACGACCGCAAGCAUCCGGCGGGGGAGUGGAUCCUCCAGGGCGCGCAGGAGAUGCAGAUGAAUCUAUUCGACGACUUACAUUUUGGAGAGCCUUAAGGCAGUGCACAGCAGCUCCCAGAGCUGGCACCAACACCAGAGUGGCAGAAACUCCUUGAUCAUCGACGGAACGUUAAGGUCACCACGAUGCUCAACGGAAGAGAACAUGUUCUAGCCCUUAGGUCGUGCAAAGCAGCUCCCAGAGUCGCCCUUAGGUCGUGCAAAGCAGCUCCCAGAGUCGGCACCAACGUGAGAGUAACAGAAACUCAAAGACUGGUAUUUUGACUUAGUUUUACCAGUUCAUGCUUGGCAAAGUCGUAGCUGUUGGUUUGCUGUUAUUAUCUUCAGCCAUCGAUGAAGAACCCCAAUUAUACAUGCAGUGAAGAUUUGCAGAUGAAUCCUGGUACUCAUGAAACUGCAGUGCUAGUUGAGGAGGCUCCAGUCCCAGAACAGAAGCGUGAAUGAACAGCCUCAGAUGCAUGAUCAUACCUUUGGCAAAUAAGUUUCUCCGGUCGAACGGGCAAGGAUUAUGUAUUCUCGGAAAGGAAGCUUCCCGUGAGUCCCAUUUAACCGAAUGAGGCAUCAGGACAUCUGUGAGAUAAGGUCACUCGUCAAACGUUUGUCAACGCGACCCGAGAUGACGGGAAGAGACGUCUUCCACGUUGUUGCCGUAAAAUAGAUGGAGAAGCGAGCACUAAAAUGCCUUGUUUAUCUCUGCAAGAACUGAAUAAAAUCCCAAGCUGUUCCCUUUUUAGUACAGCUAUAAUGAAAGCCAAUUGAUAUGA